rnacentral:rRNA from 1 species
GGGGAGCCCUAGCACAGGUGCUGCAUGGCCGUCGUCAGCUCGUGCCGUGAGGUGUUGGGUUAAGUCCCGCAACGAGCGCAACCCCCGCCGUUAGUUGCCAGCGGUUCGGCCGGGCACUCUAACGGGACUGCCCGCGAAAGCGGGAGGAAGGAGGGGACGACGUCUGGUCAGCAUGGCCCUUACGGCCUGGGCGACACACGUGCUACAAUGCCCACUACAAAGCGAUGCCACCCGGCAACGGGGAGCUAAUCGCAAAAAGGUGGGCCCAGUUCGGAUUGGGGUCUGCAACCCGACCCCAUGAAGCCGGAAUCGCUAGUAAUCGCGGAUCAGCCAUGCCGCGGUGAAUACGUUCCCGGGCCUU